UAGUCAGUAAAGGGCAUGACACAGAGAC
rnacentral:piRNA from 1 species